AGCUUGCUCCCUUAGGUCAGCGGCGGACGGGUGAGUAACACGUGGGUAACCUGCCUGUAAGACUGGGAUAACUCCGGGAAACCGGGGCUAAUACCGGAUGCUUGAUUGAACCGCAUGGUUCAAUCAUAAAAGGUGGCUUUUAGCUACCACUUGCAGAUGGACCCGCGGCGCAUUAGCUAGUUGGUGAGGUAACGGCUCACCAAGGCGACGAUGCGUAGCCGACCUGAGAGGGUGAUCGGCCACACUGGGACUGAGACACGGCCCAGACUCCUACGGGAGGCAGCAGUAGGGAAUCUUCCGCAAUGGACGAAAGUCUGACGGAGCAACGCCGCGUGAGUGAUGAAGGUUUUCGGAUCGUAAAACUCUGUUGUUAGGGAAGAACAAGUACCGUUCGAAUAGGGCGGUACCUUGACGGUACCUAACCAGAAAGCCACGGCUAACUACGUGCCAGCAGCCGCGGUAAUACGUAGGUGGCAAGCGUUGUCCGGAAUUAUUGGGCGUAAAGCGCGCGCAGGCGGUUUCUUAAGUCUGAUGUGAAAGCCCCCGGCUCAACCGGGGAGGGUCAUUGGAAACUGGGGAACUUGAGUGCAGAAGAGGAGAGUGGAAUUCCACGUGUAGCGGUGAAAUGCNUAGAGAUGUGGAGGAACACCAGUGGCGAAGGCGACUCUCUGGUCUGUAACUGACGCUUAAGCGCGAAAGCGUGGGGAGCGAACAGGAUUAGAUACCCUGGGAGUCCACGCCGUAAACGAAGAGUGCUAACUGUAAAAGGGUUCC
rnacentral:rRNA from 1 species